GAGUUUGAUCAUGGCUCAGAGCGAACGCUGGCGGCAGGCUUAACACAUGCAAGUCGAGCGGGCGUAGCAAUACGUCAGCGGCAGACGGGUGAGUAACGCGUGGGAACGUACCUUUUGGUUCGGAACAACACAGGGAAACUUGUGCUAAUACCGGAUAAGCCCUUACGGGGAAAGAUUUAUCGCCGAAAGAUCGGCCCGCGUCUGAUUAGCUAGUUGGUGAGGUAAUGGCUCACCAAGGCGACGAUCAGUAGCUGGUCUGAGAGGAUGAUCAGCCACAUUGGGACUGAGACACGGCCCAAACUCCUACGGGAGGCAGCAGUGGGGAAUAUUGGACAAUGGGCGCAAGCCUGAUCCAGCCAUGCCGCGUGAGUGAUGAAGGCCCUAGGGUUGUAAAGCUCUUUUGUGCGGGAAGAUAAUGACGGUACCGCAAGAAUAAGCCCCGGCUAACUUCGUGCCAGCCGCCGCCGUAAC
rnacentral:rRNA from 1 species